CAAUUUAAACAACGAAGAGUUUGAUCCUGGCUCAGGAUGAACGCUAGCGACAGGCUUAACACAUGCAAGUCGAGGGGCAGCGGGGGUAGCAAUACCCGCCGGCGACCGGCGCACGGGUGAGUAACGCGUAUGCAACUUGCCUAUCAGAGGGGGAUAACCCGGCGAAAGUCGGACUAAUACCGCAUGAAGCAGGGG
rnacentral:rRNA from 1 species